rnacentral:rRNA from 1 species
GACGAACGCUGGCGGCGUGCCUAAUACAUGCAAGUCGAACGCAGUGGGGACGGGUGCGUAACACGUGGGUAACCUCCCAUCAGAGGGGAUAAAACUUGGAAACAGGUGCUAAACCGCUACUGAUGUAUGAACCCGCGGUGCUUUGGCUAGUUGGUGAGGUAACGGCUCACCAAUGCCACGAUGCAUAGCUGCCCGGAGAGGGGGAACUGCCACACUGGGACUGGGACACGGCCACGGCUCCUACGGGAGGCAGCAGUAGGGAAUCUUCGGCAAUGGAGGAAAGUCGGACCGAGCAACGCCGCGUGAGUGAAGAAGGUUUUCGGAGCGUAAAACUCUGUUGUUAGAGAAGCGGUAUCUAACCAGAAAGCCACGGCUAACUACGGGCCAGCAGCCGCGGUAAUUC